UACGAAGGGGGCUAGCGUUGCUCGGAAUCACUGGGCGUAAAGCGCACGUAGGCGGAUUGCUAAGUCAGGGGUGAAAUCCUGGAGCUCAACUCCAGAACUGCCUUUGAUACUGGCAACCUUGAGUCCGGGAGAGGUGAGUGGAACUGCGAGUGUAGAGGUGAAAUUCGUAGAUAUUCGCAAGAACACCAGUGGCGGAAGGCGGCUCACUGGCCCGGUACUGACGCUGAGGUGGCGAAAGCGUG
rnacentral:rRNA from 1 species